GAGAGCCUACGGGAGGCAGCAGUGGGGAAUAUUGUACAAUGGGGGAAACCCUGAUGCAGCGACGCUGCGUGAGUGAAGAAGUAUUUCGGUAUGUAAAGCUCUAUCAGCAGGGAAGAAAAAAGACGGUACCUGACUAAGAAGCCCCGGCUAACUACGUGCCAGCAGCCGCGGUAAUACGUAGGGGGCAAGCGUUAUCCGGAUUUACUGGGUGUAAAGGGAGCGUAGACGGCUGUGCAAGUCUGAAGUGAAAUGCCGGGGCUCAACCCCGGAACUGCUUUGGAAACUGUACAGCUAGAGUGCAGGAG
rnacentral:rRNA from 1 species